ACAAGACAACGAUCUGGUGAACGUUUGAGAGAGCGGUCCAGUGAACGUUCUCAACGAAUAGCAUCGAAAGAUCACUCCAGGAGCAAAGAUGAUUCAAGAAGCUCAGUAAAGUCUAGUGUCAAUAUUACUGAAGACAAGAAGCGUGAUAGGCGGACAGAUGAUGCUCAGGCAGCAUCCACUCUAGCUAAGCGUCAAAAAAUAAGUAUCUCUGAGAUCGCCAAGGUGGAACGGGAGCUUUUGCGAGGUGUGCAGAAAGUUGCUGCUGUGAAGCCACAGGUUACAUCUCAAGUCUCAUCCCGGAGUUUAGCUCAAUCUUCACGAAGUCAUGAGCGUGAAUCUAGGAGCAGCCAGUCGUCGUCUCGUAGGAAAGAAAAGGUGCCUGAAAAUCGGCUGGCCAGUCAAGUGAUUGCCAAAGAACCGGAGCCAGAGGACGAGGAUAUUGUUGCAGAUGUUCCAUCGGUAGUCAAAGUCACCCCCCGUCCUGUCAUUCCAUCAGCAAAAGCAGCACCCAGGAAUCUUAUUUUGAAGGCAGUUGCAGAGGCAGAAAAAUCUAUUCAAUCAUCUCCAGUUAGAUCAGAAAAGGAUGAAUGGGGCGAAGACGCGGUUGGCGAGCAAGGAGCGUUGAUCAAAGACAAAGAUGCCGUUGCUGCCCUCGAAACAUCCCUCAAGUACCUUGAACAGCAUGGUGCAGAUCUCAAGGACAUUGCUGUCAUCAAGUAUUGGCUCCACUUUGCCUCGUUUGAAGCAUCAAAUGAACUUGCGUCAAGCUAGGAAGCUCAAUUGAUUUCGUGCAAAAGAAAGUUGUUUACUAACAUUGUCUCCUUGGGGUUUUAAUCAAAGUACUAAAUGCAUCAUUAUCAGGCUAUCAUUCGCAAGGUUGCAAAAGUACUGAUCAAAAAAGCGGAAUUCAAUAAUGCCCUGGUCGCAAAAAUAAGAAAAAAGAAGAAGCCCAUAAACCCGCAGUCAAAGAACUGCUUUUUCGAAGCAUUCAAUGUACAUAUGACUGAAUGGCGAAAAUGAAUUGACAACUGUACGUUUUUCCUUCCCUUGUCCUGUUCGUCCAUUGUUGAAGAUUUUCACUUCUCCACAAAUAACGAUUUCCCAUUCCCCCAUAAUAAUCUACUUAUUGACCAUUAAAAAUAUUCAGCUACUGGUCAAUUUUUUCAUCAAGUGAAUCAGUUUCUCUCUUCCUCACAGGACAAUAUUUUUUUUCUCUCUUUCUUUGUAACUUACAACAUUUAGAUUUGUAACAAGGUGACGCUUCUAUUUGACAGCAUGAAUCGAGUUUUUUCUUUUUGUUGCGGCGGUAUCAAGUCUGUAUUCUAUUUUUGUUUUUCUUUUGAAAUUUUUCAAUUAUAUUCAGGGGACUUUUAGAAGUGUUGUCCUAUAGUUGUGAUUUUAUUGCCUCGUUUCAUCUAAUCUUGAUCUCGACAAUCAGGUUUCUUAUACACCAUAAAUAGCUAUCUAGUUGAUAUUAGCUUCAAUUCUUUAAAAUCUGUCAUACUAAACAUAAUACAAUCUUGCUUCCUCUCUUAUGGAAGGAAUUUGUUGUUUCAUCGAUGAAUUUAAGUUAGCCAAAAUGAAACAAGAAUAAUUAUUGAAAAAAUAAAAAACUAAAAUAAUAAAAAACCUUGUUAAUAGUUCUUUAAGUGGUUUGUACUUUACCAAAAAUGUUCUAGAAAAUUUAUUGUAAUAUUGUUGUGGCAAAGGUUUUUUAAUCAUUUCCUAGCUAAAUUUUCAUCUCUAUUACAUGUGAUCUGUGCCUAUCAAUAAAUGUUUACAUAAAGAAUGAUUUGUUUCGUUCCUCCUUAUCUAUUCAUAACAAAUGUAUGUGAACACUCCAACCAGAGUUGAUUAGGCAACAAUGAAUAUAGAAUAUAGAAGAAUAUAGCACAAUGAUGCCGAUGCCGUGCUUUUGCAGUAGCCAAUCUUUUUCGAAGCACUUAUUUUAAAUAUUAUGUUUGGUGGUCUUGCUAUGGUUUUACUGUAAUUGGAGAAUUUUUACCAUCUGAAAAUAUUACACAGGCUAACAUUGGUUCAGAUAAUCAGGCUCGGUGUAUCUUUGUUGUUAAGAUUUGGUUUCCCACAUCUAAAAAUUUUAAGGUUCCGAAAAUUCUGUGUUAGAACUAGAAUUGAAAUAGUGAAAAAUGAACAAUGAAGUUGGGGAGAAACUUAUUAUGAGUGGUGCAAUCAGAAACAUAGCUACUCCGAAUCCAGAUAAAUCAGGGAAAUUUGGGGUAAGCAAGUUGCCCUCAUCCUGUUUACCCCUGUGGCCCAUUCGAGGCAGGAAGUGGAAAUGUUAAUUACUCUUCCAUUUUUUUAUAUAUAGAAAAGAGGAAGUAGCCAGAAUUGAAGCUGAAGUGAAGAAAUUAAUCACUCUUUACCACUGACACUCAGCAAAUUUGCCAAAUCCAACUUCCGUCGGAGCCAUUCUGUUAGUCCUGAAGCAAAUCAUUUUCAGGCGAGGAAAGCAAAUUAAAACAGUUUUAAUUCAAUGGAAAAUUCAUACUUCAUCAGAUAAAUUAUCUGUUUGUGAGGUAAAUUAGAAACCCACCUUUUUGUAUAAUAGUUUUGUCUCUUGGAAUGACUAUUUCUGCCGAUAGAUUUCAUCAAAUCCUAUCGAUAAUGGCUCCCAAAAUAAUCAAGUUCAUGCGAAUUCCAAAGCAGUCUAGAUUUUCCCUUGAAGAAAAUUGUUCAAAUCUUAGCAUACUCAGACUGAAGGAAUUUUUCCUGUGCCUGCCUGUAUCCUAAGUAUUAAAAUGAAAAUGUCCGGAUGUUCUAGAUAACUUUACCAUAAGGAAUUUUCUUAAUGCCGGGUUUAUGUCCCAGCUAUGAUAUCUACUACAUCGGUGUCAUUUUGCAGCCACUUUCCACAGACAUUACGUAAAAUGUGUGAAAGUUAUUUAUUCUCUCUUACACCAGCAAUAUUUGCUGCAAAUUAUGUACUCAUUGCCAAUGAAGACAUGCAAUAUUAUUGCUAGGACUUUAAAGAUCUCUAAUGGAUGUGGUUUCAACAUAAAGAAGUAGGAGGAAGUCAUCCGAUUGCCGUGUGGUAUUUGUGACAUGUACGCUCUCAUGUACAUUAGUUUUUGUUCCAAAAAGUACCUUUUUGUUAUUAAUCCUCUACCCAUGUGAAGAAGUUGUUGGAUUCAUUAUUUCUCAACAGAAAAUGUUCAUAAUUUAAUUUUUUUUCACUAACUUACAUGUUGAUUUUAUAGCACUUGUGUGCGCUCUGCAACACCUAACCGCCACUGAUAGCGAUCCUGCUAGAGCUCCUCUGGCAAAUUGCAUCUCCUCAUUUCCUGUCUUAUUCCAUCAAUCCACGAUUUGACAGGGCGUCCUCUACACUAAUUUUUUUUUCUUAUUCUUUUAAAAAUUGGAUUGUUUUUCAAGAAAAAAAUAACAUUUAUUCUCUAGAGGUCUUUUGGUCUGAGGUAACAUUUUUCAGCUUUUCAGUGCCCAAUGAUAUCCCCGGGACCCAAAGUUUACUAAACUGAAACUUUCUCUUUAUUUUCAG
rnacentral:lncRNA from 1 species